GGGAGAUGAUUGCAGAGGAACCUGCUGCUCAUUUGUAGCGUGAAACCACGCAGCUCCUCCUCUGGCUGCCACUGUGCUCCUGCUUAUAGGGCAGCUACUCAGCUCAUCUGUGUUUACCCUAAAGAUGGGGGGCAGGCGUAACCUUUCUGUACACCCAGCGUGAAGUGGCUUACCCCUCCGUGAAACUCAGGUGAGCUGCUUCUCUGCCGACUGCAAACUGGGAGCAUCUUCACGGGGAACUUUUCCGCUGAAAUCAAAGUGAAACUUCACCCUGGGCUUUCUUAUUGCUGCCUCCUGAGUCACCACAUCCUUCUCUUGUCACCACCACCUUUCUGUUUAGAAAGUGAUAAUGAGACGCAGUGUUCAGCAGUGAGAACUGGGUCUGUGUGCGAGGAAUGAAUUUACAGAGGGGUUAAAAUUCGCUCUUUGAAAGCAGAGAGCACCAAAAGGUCCACCUGGGGAGUCAGUUGUUGGCGUGCUGCAGUUUUACAGUGCUUCCCUACAUUUCUUGUGGAGACAAGCCCCAAGGAAUCUGAAGACUUGGCUUAUUUUCCUGAUCCUGCAACAGAUCCUGCCUUGCCCGGCUAUGGGUAAGUCUUUUAGGUGCACAUUUUCAAGCGCAGGCUUUAAUUUUAGCCCUCUGGCUUAAGAUAUCCAGAAUCUGUCCUGCGUGUGUAUUAAUCUCUUACAGCUCCAGCCAAAAUUAGCAGAAGCUGCCUGUACACAAAGGUGCACAGAAAAUUAGAUGCUACUUAGGAAAACAAGGCCUGCCCUGUCUUACUCAGCUUGCUUAUGUGUUUAGUGGGGAUGAUAACACCUGUCCAGCUGCGGAGACAUCAGGCUAAAUUAAUUAAGGUUAGCAAAGGAUGUGAAGCAAUUAAUUAGUUUUUGCAGAGUUGCUUGCAUGUGUAGAGGAGAAGAGCUCUUUGAGCACCGUUUCUCCUGCUUUGGUCUUUCUAUUGGAUUCAAAUGAGGAUAAACAUUACCUCCUUCACAGAAAGCUCAGCUAAAUGUUAUGUGCCCGUGAAGAGUUUGGUUUUACUUGGAAGGAGUAGGGCAUGAGAUUUUGGUUCCUCUCACUUGUUUAUGAGCAUGAAUUUACUACACAUAAAUCACUGCAGGUCAGAACAUUGCUGUUGCCUUAACACAAAGUAAGAGAGCACAGAAUCACCCUUUAAUGUUGUGCAAUUGGACAGGAUUUGGCUUGUCCUCAUUUUGUGUUUGGAGAACUCGGGCUGCCCUUUGUGCUCGAUGUUCUACCUCUUUUUCUCUUGAAGGUCCAGUGGAGAAAUCCGACUGGGCGCGUUUGCAUCACUCACUCACUGCCUGUUCUUUGUCUGUGUGCAGUGUUUUGCUGAAAUUAAAGCACAGCUUUCUUCUCUUUGCUCACUGUGGGAUUUCCCGGUGUUUCACAAGGCUGCCGUUUGAUGAACAUUUCAAGCUGGCACUGAUGCUGAAAGAAAGAGUCAUGUUUUCUUUAUACCUGUUCCCUUGUAUCUAGUCCAGCGUGCACGUGGAUGUAAGAUGGACCAGAUCAGGGAGGGAAUCUGGCUCAGAAAAUAGCUGUUUCUGUCUUGUAAUCACAUUUGUUUUAUGUGGUUCCCUUUCAUGACAGGGCUUAGCAGCAGGGCAAAGAAGAGGAGCUGGGAAGAGAAGGAGGAGAGGCCAGGCUUCUCCAGGUGGAGAGCCUUGCUGUUUCCCACCCCGUGUCUCUUUGUCUCUCACUCUACUAUCUCCUGGAGUUGGCAACAAGUUAAUGUGACUCGGGAGCCAGAAGGUGAGGGGGUUGCUGUGGAUGAAGGCCUACAUUGUGUCCUUCUGAACCCAAGGCUAUUCCCCUCCCCCUUUCCAUUCUUUGGGUUACUCAGCAGAGCUGCUCCGAUUCACAUAAGCUAACAAUCUGUUGAGAAGAAGCAGUUAGGGCCAUAGAAGUUGUUGACAUCCUAUUUUCUUUUUUUUCUUUUUCUUUUUCUUUUUCUUUUUCUUUUUCUUUUUCUUUUUCUUUUUCUUUUUCUCUUUUUCUUUUUCUUUUUCUUUUUCUUUUUCUUUUUCUUUUUCUUUUUCUUUUUCUUUUUCUCUUUCUUUUUCUUUUUCUUUUUCUUCUUUUCUUUUUCUUUUUCCAGUGGCAUAACCGGUACUCCAGCUUAGCUCAUCCUUUUGUGCUCUCCAUCCCUUGCGUUGAAUCCAUGAGGAUGCACGAGGGUAGAACUUCAGAUCCCCCCCCAUCCCCCCAACCAGCUGGGACCAGCAGCUAAAGACAUUCAGCAUUUCUCACAGUCCGCAGCGUAGCUUUUGAGCUGGCUGGUAAUUGGAAACACUGUGCACUCCACUGCUCGGUCUCGCAGGCUCCCUGGCCAGCUGUGGGCUGCUCACCACCACCGCUGAGCCCGCAGUGCAGGGACGAGCUGCAGCGCCUGAGUUCAGCUCAAAGCAGCUGCAGAAAAAAAGCAUCCUGCUGCAGAAGAGCCAAUGGCCCUGGGAACAGACUGCUUUUAUAAAAAGCCUUACGAGAGCCAGAUGCCCCCUACCCUGACAAAGACUGAUCAGGUGGCUGCUGGUAUCGCCUUUCACUGCUCUUUGGCAAGGGUGGAAACACAGAAUGAUGGGUGCCAUGGAUUUAUGCUUUGUGAGAGGUCAGGUCAGAUCAUCAGCAUGGAAAAUAAAUCCAUUGGAUGUAUCUCCCGGGGGGUGCAGGAGGCUGUGCUGCAAGUCUCUUGGCACGGGGCAGUCCCCCAGCACUUCCCCACCCGAGCGGCCGCAGCAGGUGAUCCGCGGAGGAAGAGGAGGAUGAAGCCCGGCGUGCGAGCCAGCCCCGCCGGCUGCCGAGUGCCACCAGAGGGUGCUGCGCCGUACCGCCGGCCGGCAGGGACGGAUGGGAACGGGAGGGAUGCGAGAGGGACGCGGGAGGCUGCGGCCCCAGCCAGCUCCCUGCCUGCCAGCUCCUGCUGUGGUUGCCAGGCUGCUUGGUUUGGUUGCCCCGCAGCUAGCUAGUUCCGUCUGAUGGACCUCAGCUCCCUCUGGAGAAAACAAACGUUUGUGGCCGUGUUGAUGUGCAAGGAGGAAAACAUCGACACCGCAGAUAACGUGGUUGGUACGUCUCGAGACAGCGUAUGUAGAAGACAGCAUUUAAAAGGGUUGGUUUAUUAACUUUGCGCUCCCGUGCCGUAACCAGCCGCCCUUUAGGGAGACAGAAUUAGCCUCUCUUUAGCAGAAGGCAUCACAUCCCUCUGCUUAUGUCCCGUGCCGCUGCUCCCCCCAGCAGCCGCACUCCUCGGUGCCUGCUGUCCCACACGUCCGGGGCUGCUGUACAGAGCGCUCCUUAUACAGACGUCUCUUGGCAUGGAGGCGCUCCCCGGGAGCACGACUGUAGGUUGAAAUUCUGCCUUCUUGGAAUAAGCAAAUGCCAGGGGUUUAUUUCCUAUUAAGCUAGCAGAUAGUUUGUGCAUUUAGCCGCAGUUUGCUGUCUCCAACCAGAUACGGGUGGAUCCUUCUUGUUUUCCUUCCUCUUUAUAUUUCCAGCCUGGGAAACAGCAAAAAGUUUGUGCAAAAGCAACAUCUGUGGGAGAGAGAGAGAGAAAAGGAUGAGGCAGGCUGGCCCGGCAGCCAGCCUCAGGAGAUGGUAAGACAGAAGAGCUAUUCAUUGUGAGAGGCAGUUGCUCCUCACCCUGCUAGACUAUAAAUUGGACACCUUAUUAAGAGCUGAUCCUCCAACAGCCCCACCCCGGGCUGUGCUCACGCUCCGGACUAGAGGAACGCAAUCCCGUUUCGCUCUGGGUGCCCGCUGUGGGGUGAGCACAUGUGUGAGCAGGACAGAGGACACGAGGCAGAAGGAAGCAGCACACUUUUUGAUUUGUGGGUCGUCAGCUUAGGAAAACAAGGCAAACUUUUGGGAGGCAGCAGGGAGGAGGUUGGAUGGCAGCGAAGUUUGGGCUCUCACCCUAUGAUGCGCUGGUUGCCUUAGCAAAUAAUGGAAGCAGUAUUACAUUUUUUUCCUUUUUUUUUUAAACUUGUUUUCUCAGUUGUAACUUAAAAAUGCUGACUCACUGGCACUGUGUGCCAACACAAAUGUUGCUGCGGAAAUCAAUCAUCAUGAGAGCCUGGCGAGAUAUAACCCCACAGUGGCGCAGGCUUUGAAUGGGCCUCUUUGGUCAUUCCAAGUUUCUUCUUCAGACAAUUCGCCCGGAAACUUCCUUCUUGUCAGGUGAGCCCAAAGGUCUGAGCAGACUCACGCAGAUGUCACGUUGAAUGGUUGCUGUGGUGAAAAAUUCACAGGAAUGUGAGGUUAACAAAUUCAUCAGUUGUAUCAUCCUUGGCAAGACUUCUGAGCUUUCCAGCCUUUGCGCACCUUUAACCAUUUGAAAGGUUCUUGGGCUUGCAUUUGAAGUGCACAAGCUAUUGCCAGCUGCUGUCAGAAAUAAAUAUCUUUAUGUAUUCUUCAGAGCUUGUUUUUGUGCUGAAGAAAGCAGGAUGGAUCACAGGCCUUUUGUACUGUUCUGAACAUUAUUCCUGCUCAGACAUUCAUGUUUUUCCUUCCACGUGAAACCGAUUGGAGGAGUCAUGCAACACUAGAUGUGUUGGGAGGAGUCUGCAUUUUCAGAGCAUCUGCUCGUUGAUUUCUCUGCUGAGGUUCCUCUGUUUUAUUUUCCUUGGCAGGCCAUUUAAACAUAGUUAGAUAUAUUGCAACUGAGCGGUGGUCAGGUAAUUCAAAGUAACAUGGAAAUGUGACCUUCAUACAUGCCUCCCCGCUCCUCGGGUAGCACUAAGAUACAGGUGCAUUUCAAUAGCAUCUCCUAGAAUUGCUGACUUCAGUUGCAUCUCAUAUAAUUGAAAAACAGCCUUUGUAUUUCCUUUAGGAGGAAAUACAUUUUUUUUCAGAUCUGAAAAAUCUAGGAUAUUGCUGUGGCUCAUUUGAAAAUGGCCGCGUGAUUCUCUAGGUUGUGAUUGCCUGACUGUCGCUGGUGUAUUGGAAGGCAUUGGCUGACAAGAUGUUCCUGGAUACCUUAAUUUGUGUGCCUCAGAUGACUUUACAUGCUUAUAAAAAUGAGCACAAAGCAUCUUCAGCGUUUCUCUCACUUUUCUUCUCCUACAUUCUACUUGAGGGACUUCUUAGUUUUGCCAAUGAUUUUGUUUCCCAAUAAAACAGCGUGUCUGAAUUCAUGCUCUGUGUAUAAGUCCAUGUAUGUGAUUCCACUGUGCCCUAACCUCUCCAAAAGUGUGGGCCUGCUGGUUGAUUUUGGCUGAAUUUGGCAAAAUAAUUGAGAUUUCAAACUGAAGUUCCAAAAUGUUUUAAAAAGAAGGGCUAGGUAGGCACAGGAGAGGGCUUUUUUUGUGCUAGAGACAUCCUGGUGCUGUCAGCUCAGAUCACCUUUUACCACGUACCAGUGAAGCUGCCAUGGAAUGGGCCCUUGGAAAUCAGUCUUCAACACAUCUGUCAGACGUGGAUUAGUUGUUAGUACUGGUUGUUUUGGUACAGUUAGAAUAGAGGAGGGGAGGCUGGGUUGAAAACCCGGAGUUUUCUCUUUUGUUCUAGACUUUUGAGAUUUAUGGUUUUUCCCUGCAAGUAGUCCGGAUUUUGCAGUUGUGAACUAAGCACUAGAGAAUCUGUCCCUAGCGCACCUAUCCUUCAAACUGGGUAUUUAUUGUGUCACAGGGCAGUAUGACUGCCAGAUUUCAACAUAGCUGUGGCUGUCUUCGCACCAAUUUUUGCUAAGGUGUUGAAAGCUUUGAAAAUAAGGCCUUUGGGACUAAGCGGUGAGCGGAGCAAAGAUCAGAGUUUGAACUUGUUUGGAGGUCUUGUGUUGCUGAAUAAACGGACCGACAUUUUUGUAUGGGGCAUCAUUUCUAAACCCACCGUGUCUGUAGAAAUCAAGCAUAAGGAGCAAGUUCAAUCUAGCAGGUCGUCUGAUCAGAAAUAGCUGUGAAGAACAGAGGUAUUUGCAGCAACAGCUCUUGGGAUUUCUAGAAGGAAUGAGUUCGGAUAAAUAUUAAAUCUCCAUUUUGUCUUAAUGCCAGUGAUGGAGAAUGAAUGACAUUAUGGAAAUGUGAAAUGCUUUCCUCUACCAUCUUGAGCCCAGGCUCUUGCAACAAUUCAGCUUCUGCCAACUUCUCUUCAUUCAUUUGCUGAUCUCAGCCAAGCCCUUGUAGAGCUGGGUAACGGUGUUAUUUGCAUGGGAGGUGAAGAUGAUGUAGAGAUGGGUGUCAUAUGUGUACUGCUGACAAGUCAGUCCAUGGUGCCACUGAAUAUUCUCUACAGGCUUUAUAUAGAUAUUGAACAGGCUGGGUGAGGGGAAAGAAUUUCAUGUUAUUCAGCAGGUGGGAAAGGUUUUGGAGGUUAAGGAAAGAGCAAGUGUUUAUCAUAAAUCUCUUGAGCUUACUGGAGAUUGAUGUAAGGGAUGUCUGAAGAUGUAUCAGCUCAGUUCCAAAGGGCUCUGGACAGACAUUUAUUUUCAAACAGCUGAGCUGGCUGGAGAUCUUACAGCCAUUCCAGAUGCUUGCUACCAACCCUCUGCUGAUGGUUGCCAUACCUGUUGCUCUGCUGUUAGAAAAGGUAGUCUAAAGUCUUCCUGAUCUGUUCGGUGAAGUCACUCAGAUAGCUGAAAGUGCUGAUAAAGGUGGUGUUAUUUAACACAGCUGAAAUUGCAUUACCUUUAAAAGAGAGAACGUUCACUUUACUGUGAGUUUUGGAAAGGAGAGAAAGGAGAAAAGAAGGCCUCAGCCUAUCCUGCAGAGCAUUCCCACAGCCCCAGGCAGCUCUUGCAUUGCCUCCUGCAGGCCUGAAGAUGGGCAAGGCAUGUGUGUGGGGCUGGGUACAUCUUCUGGAACAGGCAAUGUAGCUGCUGUUUGGGGUUUGCUUUUAUGAGUGAACAUGUGCUCGGAUAUUUUGUAUAGAUCUUGUGCUUAAAAUAUAUGCAAAGUGCUUGUUUCUUACAUGAGUGACUGAAAUGAUGUAUGUGGAGAUGUGUCAGCCUCCUACGGGGUCAGGUAACCUCAUGUGGCCAAAGCUCAGGUAACCAAGAGUUUGUUAUUAUCCAAGUUUUCUACCAGAGCUCAUAUAAGAAAUUGUUAUUAAUUAGUAUAUUAACACCACUAUGGUUAAAGCUGAACCAGCAAGUUACAAUAAAAUGCUUAAGUUGGGGCAAAGAAGAAAGCUCAUGCACUCGGGUGUUCAUUCAGGAAUGGGAGGAAUGGGAAGAACUGGGAUGAAAGCCUGUGGGUGUUUUUAAGAGAUCCUGGAAUUCUUGCAGGUUUUCCAGAUCCAAAACCACAGAACUGCUGGAGAUUCCUUGACGUGUACACGGGCAAAACAGAGCAAGCAAGAGUACUGGUCAUCCUUGCUGGCCAUUCUGUUUCUGAACUGGGCCAGAAUGAAGCAUCCUACCUUAACAACAGUCCAAAACUCUGCUGGAAUUUGGACUAGCAUCCAAACUCAAGGCACAGGCUCUUCUCUAAAUAAAAAUAACUCAAUCACAAGCUAUUUUGGGGUGGUGACUUUCAGACAAGAAAUGUAGGGCUUACACAGGUUUUUACUUCUGUCAAAUACAUCUGGAUGCUGUACUCCUUCCUGCCGAUACUCUGAACUUGCUCUCUUCAGCUCAGAGCCAAAGAACUCCAACUGAAAGCUAGAAAUGGUAGAACAACUGAUGUUACUCAAGGUAAACAGCAGGGUUUUUUUGGUGGUUUAUUUAUUCCACAGAGGAUAUUCUGCUACUCUGGUUGCUGCUGAUGCUGAUAAAAUUUCUGUCAUGGCCUGUGAUGAACAGCAUGCAAUGUUGGUUCAAGAUAAGAGCCAAAAGCGUGUCAAAGAGUCUUCUCCAAAUAGGAAUCCCCAUAGAUCUGGCUUUUUUGACAGGGUGGUAGUUAACGAAACUGCCACACCUGGCACCAUUGACAUUGCUGCCAAAACUGUCCGUCACCAUCCUCUCCCCUUCCCACAGCACCCAGUAACAAAUCUGUUUUUUCCUGUUUGCUUGGAUAUACCUGGUAUUAUGAUAGGAACAGUUCCCGUUCAUGAAGAAUGAGGUGGGAUACAGCGAGUUGUAAGGGACAGGAAGCAAAGGAGGAAGCGGUGUGCUGGGCUAUUGUUGUUAAUGGCACUAAGCAGCAAGUGCUAAAGCAUGUUUUACAUCAGUGCGAGCACUGCUGUGUAUGAUGUCCUACUGGGAGUGCCUGCACUGUGUGCAGCAGAUGGGCAGCAGGAGAGUUUCACUGCUGGGUUCUGAGGUAAGAGUGUUUCCUACCUCAGGAGCUCCAAGCAGUCUAUGAACUUCAGUUGAUUUAAAGCUUUGGACCUUCAAAAUAAUUAUCCGGUUGUAUCCCAGAGCAAGGCAUAUUUGCUGAAGAUGUCAUAGGAAGUUUUCAGCUGUGCCAAGUGUAUAAACUAGAUCUUCUGACUCAUAGAUCUAGGGUUUAAUUGAAGGAGUUUUCUUCCUCUUUACAUAGCUACCCUGCCUUCUCUUUGAUAUUAUCCCACCCUCCCCUAAUCACUGGGUGACAUCUGAUCCCUAUGACUCUUCUAUAACCUUCAAGGUCUAUUGUAUUGGGUCCAAGAUCUUGUGUUUUAUUUCUGGCUGUUCUAAUUUUGAGUCCAUCCCUGCAAUUCCAGGGGGCUCACCCCUAAACUGGCUGCAAGCCCUUGGGAAGCAGGGUGCCCCUUGGUGGUACAUCUCACUGUGGAGCAGAGAUUUUCCUGAACCAGUCACUGUCCUCCACUAAACCCUGGUGCAGAGGAUGGCUAUUGCCUCCCACGUGCUUCCUGCAAUUUCUGCUUAAGUAUAGUAUUCUUUGCUGCCUCUCUGCAGUUGGAAUGUAAAGCUGCUUUCUGUAGAUUUAAAGUCGCUUCCUCCUCUGAAGUGGCUUUAUUUUAGUGCUCAGCUCAGUGAUUCCUACACAGUACUUAACCCAGCAGGUAUCUGAAGUCCAAAUACUUUAUUUAGAUCUAAGUUAACGCAUAACAUUGCUUCUAUCAAUAUCAUUAGAUUUUCUUGUGUCUUUAAACUCAGUGUUCUUGAGUCACUUUCUCUUUUUUCCCUCUCGUCAAAGGAUUUCCAAUUUGCAGUUUGGGCUACGGAUGUAAAGGACCAAAUCCUGCACUAGUUUAAGUCUGUAAGAGCCAUGGAACUACGUCCAUGCACGUGAGAACACAGGAUGCUGAAAUCAUUCCACCAUUUUGAAAAGCACACGGUCUAGAGGACUGAUGCUGAGAGAUGUCGUUUAGGAUUAUCUAAUUCCUGAACCUGUAAAUCCUGAUGUAAAUAUAGCUUUUCCCCUGGCUAUACACUUUUAGUGGUGAAGAGAUUCUUUAAAAAAAUAAUAAUAAAAAAUUAGAUGUUAGAUGCUGUGCAUCCAGAGCCCCUUACUGGAGUUAUAACACCUUCUUAACAGCAUUGUAC
rnacentral:lncRNA from 1 species